rnacentral:rRNA from 1 species
UACGUAGGGGGCAAGCGUUGUCCGGAUUUAUUGGGCGUAAAGAGCGUGUAGGCGGCCAGAUAGGUCUGUUGUGAAAACUCGAGGCUCAACCUCGAGACGCCGAUGGAAACCAUCUGGCUAGAGUCCGGAAGAGGAGAGUGGAAUUCCUGGUGUAGCGGUGAAAUGCGCAGAUAUCAGGAAGAACACCCGUGGCUAAGGCGGGUCUCUGGGCAACAACUGACGCUGAGGAGCGAAAGCGUGGGGAGCGAACAGG